CAUAGGGGUCAGUUCGGCUGGAUCGGUGACAGGUGCUGCAUGGCUGUCGUCAGCUCGUGUCGUGAGAUGUUGGGUUAAGUCCCGCAACGAGCGCAACCCUUGUCCUUAGUUGCCAGCAUUCAGUUGGGCACUCUAAGGAGGACUGCCGGUGGUCAAACCGGAGGAAGGUGGGGAUGACGUCAAGUCCUCAUGGCCCUUAUGUCCAGGGCUACACACGUGCUACAAUGGCCGGUACAAAGGGGCGCAAGACCGCGAGGUGGAGCAAUCCCAAAAACCGGUCUCAGUUCGGAUUGGAGUCUGCAACUCGACUCCAUGAAGUUGGAAUCGCUAGUAAUCGCGUAUCAGCAUGACGCGGUGAAUACGUUCCCGGGCCUU
rnacentral:rRNA from 1 species